CACAAAUGAUGAGGCAUCUCCUGGAAGCUUAACUUCUUAUCCAUCCCAUCUCUUGGACAGAUGAUGCCAGUUAAUUACUUUGAAUGUGGCCUAGGGAUUUCUGGGAGGAUCCGAAGAACAAGGCUGUCUGCAGUAGGAGCCUCCUGUUCCUCGCCACCUAAGCUUCAGCCCUGCCCAACUAACAGCUCUCCAUGUUCUAAAGAAGGUGGGAGUGCUGGACCACCCCAGCCUUCUGGAACCCCAGUUCUGUGACAUUAUCCAUCUCCUGGAAAUAUGCUGGUUUUAACCAUGCAAACUGGCCAAGCAUCAGGCAGAAAUAGCAGCUGUGCCUGGAAGGACAGGUGACAUCUGUGAAGAA
rnacentral:lncRNA from 1 species